GAAUUUUGGACAAUGGGCGACAGCCUGAACCAGCAAUGCCGCGUGCAGGAUGAAGGCCUUCGGGUUGUAAACUGCUUUUGUACGGAACGAAAAGCUUUGGGUUAAUACCCUCGAGUCAUGACGGUACCGUAAGACACAGCACCGGCCAACUUCGUCCCAGCCGCCGCGGCAAUACGUAGGGUGCAAGCGGUAAUCGGAAUUACUAGGCGUAAAGCGUGCGCAGGCGGUUUUGUAAGACAGAGGUAAAAUCCCCGGGCUCAACCUGGGAACUGCCUUUGUGACUGCAAGGCUAGAGUACGGCAGAGGGGGGUGGAAUUCCGCGUGUAGCAGUGAAAUGCGUAGAUAUGCGGAGGAACACCGAUGGCGAAGGCAACCCCCUGGGCCUGUACUGACGCUCAUGCACGAAAGCGUGGGGAGCAAACA
rnacentral:rRNA from 1 species